rnacentral:lncRNA from 1 species
ACCUACGUACUUGUCUUGAUGUCACACACACCAAUGACUCGAGACUAGUCACUCUCCCUGAGAGAAGAUACAACACGUACUGAUCUUAACGGACUGUCAAUGCCCAAUUGGCAAUCCUAUGAUCAGGAACGUUUAGGACGUGUCUACGAAAGAAUGGUCUCAUGAAUCUAACUUCUUUAGAUCGCAUUCUCCCAAUCACACAUUCCUUGGACUUUAUCGUUUAAGCAUAUAACAUUUAUAUGAGACGGCUCAAACAAUAAUCUUUGCCCUUUAUAGUUAAACUAGAUUAGUUUAACAUGUGAAAUGUCUGUAAAGUAUCAUCAUAUGAUUGGUUUUAGGGCACAUUUCCAACACACACGUUGGCCAAGACUUGCCCUCACGUGCGCCUACACUCAAGCCCACAUGCCGACCUACACACUGUUUGGUUUUGGGAUCCGAUUGGGUCUGGGCCUUGGGUUUUUUGGGUUGGGCCGGUUCAAAGGAUUUAGGCUGAGAGUCUUGGGCCUAGCUACCUGGCCUAAAGG